rnacentral:rRNA from 1 species
AUGCAGUCGAGCGGANGACANGGAGCUUGCUCCUGGAUUCAGCGGCGGACGGGUGAGUAAUGCCUAGGAAUCUGCCUGGUAGUGGGGGACAACGUUUCGAAAGGAACGCUAAUACCGCAUACGUCCUACGGGAGAAAGCAGGGGACCUUCGGGCCUUGCGCUAUCAGAUGAGCCUAGGUCGGAUUAGCUUGUUGGUGAGGUAAUGGCUCACCAAGGCGACGAUCCGUAACUGGUCUGAGAGGAUGAUCAGUCACACUGGAACUGAGACACGGUCCAGACUCCUACGGGAGGCAGCAGUGGGGAAUAUUGGACAAUGGGCGAAAGCCUGAUCCAGCCAUGCCGCGUGUGUGAAGAAGGUCUUCGGAUUGUAAAGCACUUUAAGUUGGGAGGAAGGGUUGUAGAUUAAUACUCUGCAAUUUUGACGUUACCGACAGAAUAAGCACCGGCUAACUCUGUGCCAGCAGCCGCGGUAAUACAGAGGGUGCAAGCGUUAAUCGGAAUUACUGGGCGUAAAGCGCGCGUAGGUGGUUUGUUAAGUUGGAUGUGAAAGCCCCGGGCUCAACCUGGGAACUGCAUCCAAAACUGGCAAGCUAGAGUACGGUAGAGGGUGGUGGAAUUUCCUGUGUAGCGGUGAAAUGCGUAGAUAUAGGAAGGAACACCAGUGGCGAAGGCGACCACCUGGACUGAUACUGACACUGAGGUGCGAAAGCGUGGGGAGCAAAACAGGAUUAGAUACCCUGGUAGUCCACGCCGUAAACGAUGUCAACUAGCCGUUGGAAUCCUUGAGAUNUUUAGUGGCGCAGCUAACGCAUUAAGUUGACCGCCUGGGGAGUACGGCCGCAAGGUUAAAACUCAAAUGAAUUGACGGGGGCCCGCACAAGCGGUGGAGCAUGUGGUUUAAUUCGAAGCAACGCGAAGAACCUUACCAGGCCUUGACAUGCAGAGAACUUUCCAGAGAUGGAUUGGUGCCUUCGGGAACUCUGACACAGGUGCUGCAUGGCUGUCGUCAGCUCGUGUCGUGAGAUGUUGGGUUAAGUCCCGUAACGAGCGCAACCCUUGUCCUUAGUUACCAGCACGUUAUGGUGGGCACUCUAAGGAGACUGCCGGUGACAAACCGGAGGAAGGUGGGGAUGACGUCAAGUCAUCAUGGCCCUUACGGCCUGGGCUACACACGUGCUACAAUGGUCGGUACAGAGGGUUGCCAAGCCGCGAGGUGGAGCUAAUCUCACAAAACCGAUCGUAGUCCGGAUCGCAGUCUGCAACUCGACUGCGUGAAGUCGGAAUCGCUAGUAAUCGCGAAUCAGAAUGUCGCGGUGAAUACGUUCCCGGGCCUUGUACACACCGCCCGUCACACCAUGGGAGUGGGUUGCACCAGAAGUAGCUAGUCUAACCUUCGGGNGGACGGUAC